rnacentral:rRNA from 1 species
GACAGAGGGUGCAAACGUUGUUCGGAAUUACUGGGCGUAAAGCGCGUGUAGGCGGCCAUCUAAGUCGGGCGUGAAAUCCCACGGCUCAACCGUGGAAGUGCACUCGAAACUGGAUGGCUAGAGUCCUGGAGAGGAAGGUGGAAUGCUUGGUGUAGAGGUGAAAUUCGUAGAUAUCAAGCGGAACACCGGUGGCGAAGGCGGCCUUCUGGACCGGCAUUGACGCUGAGGCGCGAAAGCCAGGGGAGCAAACGGG